rnacentral:rRNA from 4 species
CACAUGACUCUCGGCAACGGAUAUCUCGGCUCUCGCAUCGAUGAAGAACGUAGCGAAAUGCGAUACCUGGUGUGAAUUGCAGAAUCCCGCGAACCAUCGAGUCUUUGAACGCAAGUUGCGCCCGAGGCCAUUCGGCCGAGGGCACGCCUGCCUGGGCGUCACGC